rnacentral:lncRNA from 1 species
UGUGUCCAUUGAUUUUUACUACGUGUUUAUAUAAAAAUUCUUUAUUAUAAAAUUCUGUCCGAAAACAAAAAUGAAAUGUACAUUCCUCUGGUAACAUGGAAGCACUUUGUAAGCCCUGUGGCAGGUUCUACAAAAUUUGGUCAAAUCUGUAUGCACAGAAGGUCAAACAAGGAGUUUCAACUCCUACCUUAUUAACAUUUGACAGUUAUGAAUUAG